UUCCACACAGGUGCCAGAAGCAGGCUUCUC
rnacentral:piRNA from 1 species